rnacentral:rRNA from 1 species
UACGUAGGUGGCAAGCGUUGUCCGGAUUUACUGGGCGUAAAGAGCGCGCAGGCGGUCGUUCAAGUCGCGUGUGAAAGCCCCCGGCUCAACUGGGGAGGGUCACGCGAUACUGAUCGACUCGAAGGCAGGAGAGGGAAGUGGAAUUCCCGGUGUAGUGGUGAAAUGCGUAGAUAUCGGGAGGAACACCGAUUGCGAAGGCAGCUCGCUGGGACGUUACUGACGCUGAGACGCGAAAGCGUGGGGAGCAAACAGG